GUGGGGAAUCUUCCGCAAUGGACGAAAGUCUGACGGAGCAACGCCGCGUGAGUGAUGAAGGUCUUCGGAUUGUAAAGCUCUGUUAAUCGGGACGAAAGAGCCUAGUGUGAAUAAUGCUAGGAAGUGACGGUACCGGAAUAGAAAGCCACGGCUAACUACGUGCCAGCAGCCGCGGUAAUACGUAGGUGGCAAGCGUUGUCCGGAAUUAUUGGGCGUAAAGCGCGCGCAGGCGGAUCUGCCAGUCUGUCUUAAAAGUUCGGGGCUUAACCCCGUGAUGGGAUGGAAACUACAGAUCUAGAGUAUCGGAGAGGAAAGUGGAAUUCCUAGUGUAGCGGUGAAAUGCGUAGAUAUUAGGAGGAACACCAGUGGCGAAGGCGGCCUGCUGGACGACAACUGACGCUGAGGCGCGAAAGCGUGGGGAGCAAACAGGAUUAGAUACCCUGGUAGUCC
rnacentral:rRNA from 1 species